UCAUAGGUUGAACCCUCGGAUACGAUAGAAAAUGUAAAGGCCAAGAUCCAGGAUAAGGAAGGAAUUCCUCCUGAUCAGCAGAGACUGAUCUUUGCUGGCAAGCAGCUGGAAGAUGGACGUACUUUGUCUGACUACAAUAUUCAAAAGGUCUGUCUAGGGGAAGAGCAGCCUCUUUAAAAAAAAUGUUAGUUUGGAAAUUUUUUAUUUUACUUUUUUUGAGACAGGCUCUGACUCUGUCACCUAGGGUGGAGUGAGUGGCGCAGUCACUGCAACCUCCACCUCUCAGACUCAGGUGGUCCUCCCACCUCAGCCUCCUGUAGUUGGAACUAUAGGCACCCGCCACCAUGCCCAGGCUGGUCUCAAACUUCUGGGCUUAAGUGAUCUUCCCACCGUGGCCUCCCAGCGCUGGGAUUACAGACGUGAGCCACUCCAUGUGGUGUAUUCUGGACAUUUUGACACACAAAAAGGGAGAAUGGCAUUCGAUUAGCAGUAGAUUUUUAGGAGUCUACUCUUCAUCUUGUGUUGAGACUUCGUGGUGGUGCUAAGAAAAGGAAGAAGAAGUCUUACACCACUCCCAAGAAGAAUAAGCACAAG
rnacentral:sRNA from 1 species